ACACGCAUCCAAUAUGGAUGAUCAUGCCCUGUAUCCUCUGCUUAUUGUGCUCAGAAUCCAUCUUGAGUCUGUGCAGCCUUUCCACCGCUC